UACGUAGGGUGCAAGCGUUAAUCGGAAUUACUGGGCGUAAAGCGUGCGCAGGCGGCUUUGCAAGACAGAUGUGAAAUCCCCGGGCUUAACCUGGGAACUGCAUUUGUGACUGCAUGGCUAGAGUGCGGCAGAGGGGGAUGGAAUUCCGCGUGUAGCAGUGAAAUGCGUAGAUAUGCGGAGGAACACCGAUGGCGAAGGCAAUCCCCUGGGCCUGCACUGACACUGAGGCACGAAAGCGUGGGGAGCAAACAGG
rnacentral:rRNA from 1 species